GAUGAACGCUGGCGGCGUGCCUAAUACAUGCAAGUCGAGCGAACAGACGAGGAGCUUGCUCCUCUGACGUUAGCGGCGGACGGGUGAGUAGCACGUGGAUAACCUACCUAUAAGACUGGGAUAACUUCGGGAAACCGGAGCUAAUACCGGAUAAUAUGUUGAAUCGCAUGGUUCAACAGUGAAAGACGGUCUUGCUGUCACUUAUAGAUGGAUCCGCGCCGCAUUAGCUAGUUGGUAAGUUAACGGCUUACCAAGGCAACGAUGCGUAGCCGACCUGAGAGGGUGAUCGGCCACACUGGAACUGAGACACGGUCCAGACUCCUACGGGAGGCAGCAGUAGGGAAUCUUCCGCAAAGGGCGAAAGCCUGACGGAGCAACGCCGCGUGAGUGAAGAAGGUCUUCGGAUCGUAAAACUCUGUUAUUAGGGAAGAACAAAUGUGUAAGUAACUAUGCACGUCUUGACGGUACCUAAUCAGAAAGCCACGGCUAACUACGUG
rnacentral:rRNA from 1 species